rnacentral:rRNA from 1 species
AUCGAUGAAGAACGCAGCGAAAUGCGAUAAGUAAUGUGAAUUGCAGAAUUCAGUGAAUCAUCGAAUCUUUGAACGCACAUUGCGCCCUCUGGUAUUCCGGGGGGCAUGCCUGUUCGAGCGUCAUUACAACCCUCAAGCUCUGCUUGGUAUUGGGCGUCACCACUCGUGGUGUGCCUUAAAAUCAGUGGCGGUGCCAUUCGGCUUCAAGCGUAGUAAUUCUUCUCGCUUUGGAGUCCGUGUGUGUGCUUGCCAGCAACCCCCAAUUUUUUUUAAGGUUGACCUCGGAUCAGGUAGGGAUACCCGCUGAACUUAAGCAUAUCAAUAAGCGGAGGAAAAGAAACCAACAGGGAUUGCCUCAGUAACGGCGAGUGAAGCGGCAACAGCUCAAAUUUGAAAUCUGGCCUCACGGUCCGAGUUGUAAUUUGUAGAGGAUGUUUCGAGUGUGGUCCGGUCUAAGUUCCUUGGAACAGGACGUCAUAGAGGGUGAGAAUCCCGUAUGCGACUGGGUGCCUAAUCUCAUGUGAAACUCCUUCGACGAGUCGAGUUGUUUGGGAAUGCAGCUCAAAAUGGGUGGUAAAUUUCAUCUAAAGCUAAAUACUGGCCAGAGACCGAUAGCGCACAAGUAGAGUGAUCGAAAGAUGAAAAGCACUUUGGAAAGAGAGUUAAACAGUACGUGAAAUUGUUGAAAGGGAAGCGCUUGCAACCAGACUUGCACGCAGUCGAUCAUCCGAUGUUCUCACCGGUGCACUCGAUUGUGUUCAGGCCAGCAUCGGUUUUGGUGGUGGGAUAAAGGCCUUGGGAAUGUAGCUUCUUUCGGGGAGUGUUAUAGCCCUCGGUGCAAUGCCGCCUACUGGGACCGAGGACCGCGCUUCGGCUAGGAUGCUGGCGUAAUGGUUGUAAGCGACCCGUCUUGAAACACGG